ensembl:lncRNA LINC02418 long intergenic non-protein coding RNA 2418
AGAUGCUCUCCCGGUGUCUGAUGGGAGAAUCCUGUGCCCGCAGCCCUGCGCUUCCCCAGGUGAACCGGGCAGGAGCCUGUUGGGAAGGCAGCGACCCACAUCUGUGUGCACCUUUGUGGAUUUCAGGUUCCGGACGCAGGCGACCAAGCCAGAGCCAACAUGCUACAGGCAGCUCCCCUUGGCCAAGCUCAUGAACUCCGGAGGGACUAGAGUAUACAAUCUGCACAGAGAAGUUCUUGUCUGGCUCCGAGUGUCCGUAUCGCGUGGCUGUAUCAUUUCAGAAAGCGUAUUCAAGGAGCGGUAAAUCCAGCAUUUAUUCUAAUUCCUUCACAUUUUAUGGCAGGGCUGAACCAACCAUAAAACAGAUUGACAGAUAUAGGGAGAACGAAAUCCUGUAUUUUACAAGCUAACGACUUUAUUUCAUUUCAUGUCAACGCCAAGGGUUGAUGAAUGGUUCUGGAAUUUCUGAACUGAGACGUUCCCCCCAGCUCCAGAGAUGGAGCAUUGCGAGAGCAAUGGUAGGAGUCCCAGCCCAAGCCAUCUAAUCUCCCCAAAUUACUCCCUAUUCAUUUUUCUUUGAGAUGGUUUAUUUAAUGAAGGCUGGAUACUCAGGUCUCCGGCUCUGCAGUGCCACCUAGAGGCUAAGCUGCUCCAGGUUAAAAAAUACUUCCACGACAAGGAGACAACAGUAAGCCCCAAAAUGAAGUUGGAGUUGUCUUUUCAUCAGAGGUUGAAGUCAUGAUCUUUGGAGCUGCAGAUAUUCCGGGAGGCCUUUUCCACGCCUGGGAGAGACGAGUAGAGACUCCGUGCAACCGGCUGCCAAUGAGGACCCAGGGCCGUGCCCUCCAAGGGGCAUCUUGCACCCUCUUCCCGUGACUCAGGAUGCUUAGGGGUCCUUAAUGAAAGCAGAAUGAAUCCUGCAUGUCCCCAGUAGCUUUGACCAGCCCGAUAGCGGCAGCUUCCGGGUGCUGCCCAUGACAGAGUGACCAUCCUGGAAAGGAGACCCGAUAAGGGCAGUGUCCCAUCCAAUGCCACAACAUGGCCCCCGCAGUUUCAUUGGUCCAAGUGUGUCCAGAAUUGGUGGGUUCUUGGUCUCACUGACUUCAAGAAUGAAGCCAUGGACCCUCGCGGGCCUCCAAAUCCUUCCUGGUUGUCUUCAGCUGCCUUCCCAGAGUCAGGUCUGUGGCUUGCCCCUAUCUGCAGUGGAUGGACAGUGUUUAUGGGCUCAUGAUCAGAAGACAGUGAAAAGGCCACAAGGAACGGAAAAGCAAAGUGGACACGAAGACAGACUCGGCUGGAGAAUCACGCCUGGCAUUCUCUGUAAUUUGAAUAAACCUGAAAGUGCACCGGUA